CGCUCAGAGGGGGAGGGGCAGGAAAGAAGCGUUGUGAGGCCGUGCAGGAGCCGAUUUUUUACACCGUGUUUUUAUUGCGGCUCUUCCUGACAAUUUGGUAGAAGCUGUGCAGAGUAAAAAGAGAUAAGCUGAGAGACGCUGCCGGACCGCCCGAUUUUAUGAGGUGAACCUCAAUUCGCUUGGAUCUCACCUUCUGAAGUUGAGUACAGUGAGAUACGGGUUGGAAUUUGGUCUCUUCCUUCUUGACGGACCACAUAACGUUUUCGGCUUCUACUUUCGCUCUGCUUGCUGACCUGGAUUUCGGAUUUGCCCCACGGAUCAAAACUACCAACUCGAUUUUGACCCGGACCUUGACCACGGCUCUUCUUCAUCACCACACCACAACAACCACUGCCACUGAGUCUCUUCAAUUACUUGGGUCACUUGGGUCCAACCUCUUGUCUUCUUGCAUCCUCUGAUUAUUACAGUUUGGAGCAAGGCCCAGCCCGAAAAAGGUACCUACAGCACCUUCC
rnacentral:lncRNA from 1 species